rnacentral:rRNA from 1 species
GAUGAACGCUGGCGGCGUGCCUAAUACAUGCAAGUCGAGCGAACAGACGAGGAGCUUGCUCCUCUGACGUUAGCGGCGGACGGGUGAGUAACACGUGGAUAACCUACCUAUAAGACUGGGAUAACUUCGGGAAACCGGAGCUAAUACCGGAUAAUAUAUUGAACCGCAUGGUUCAAUAUUGAAAGACGGUUUUGCUGUCACUUAUAGAUGUAUCCGCGCCGCAUUAGCUAGUUGGUAAGGUAACGGCUUACCAAGGCAACGAUGCGUAGCCGACCUGAGAGGGUGAUCGGCCACACUGGAACUGAGACACGGUCCAGACUCCUACGGGAGGCAGCAGUAGGGAAUCUUCCGCAAAGGGCGAAAGCUUGACGGAGCAACGCCGCGUGAGUGAUGAAGGUCUUCGGAUCGUAAAACUCUGUUAUUAGGGAAGAACAAAUGUGUAAGUAACUAUGCACGUCUUGACGGUACCUAAUCAGAAAGCCACGGCUAACUACGUG